rnacentral:rRNA from 1 species
UACGGAGGGGGCUAGCGUUGUUCGGAAUUACUGGGCGUAAAGCGUACGUAGGCGGACUUUUAAGUAAGAGGUGAAAUCCCCAGGCUCAACCUGGGAACUGCCUUUUAAACUGGAAGUCUAGAGUUAUGGAGAGGUAAGUGGAAUUCCUAGUGUAGAGGUGAAAUUCGUAGAUAUUAGGAGGAACACCAGAGGCGAAGGCGGCUUACUGGACAUAUACUGACGCUGAGGUACGAAAGUGUGGGGAGCAAACAGG